rnacentral:lncRNA from 1 species
UAAGCAUAGCAAUAACAAAUCCAUUCCAUGUUAACACAAAUAUUUCAAUGAAAUAUGUUAACUAUGUUUUCCAAAGCAGAAAUAACUUAGGGUAAAGAAUGGCUCUGCAAAUCUAGUUCGUAUGCAGCUUAACAGAAGAGAGUCUCUAAUGGCUGUUUCAGCAUAAGAAAUGGAAAGUGAAAUGUCGCACGCUAUUGUAGCUUCUAGAACUUUCCACAGUACACUUGUGAGAGAAUGAAAGUGAAAAGCAAUUAAUGUCUAAGAAUGACCAAGAAAAGAGUUUUGAUUUAAUGGGCUCCCUAAAAGCAUCUUAGGGACUUCCCAGGCCCUGCAUCCUGCUUGAAGAAAUGCUACCAUAGACACAUUGGCCUUUAUUUGGAUGGAAACUGGUCAAUAGGUUGACAGGAAAGAUAGGAAAUAAGGUCUGUUAUUAGUUGGCUUUUCGUUACUAUGACAAAAUACCAGAAGCUAGGUUACUUUGUUUUAAAAAGAGAAGUUUUAGCUCACAGUUCAGUAGGUUCAAG